rnacentral:rRNA from 1 species
UACGGAGGGGGCUAGCGUUGUUCGGAAUUACUGGGCGUAAAGCGCACGUAGGCGGAUCAGUCAGUUAGGGGUGAAAUCCCAGGGCUCAACCCUGGAACUGCCUUUAAUACUGCUGGUCUGGAGUCCGAGAGAGGUGAGUGGAAUUCCGAGUGUAGAGGUGAAAUUCGUAGAUAUUCGGAGGAACACCAGUGGCGAAGGCGGCUCACUGGCUCGGUACUGACGCUGAGGUGCGAAAGCGUGGGGAGCAAACAGG